rnacentral:sRNA from 6 species
UAUUCUGCCCUACGGGGAAGGAUGAGAAGCUUCGACUAAGGUUCGACUCGAGCGUAGCGAGAGAACGUUGCCGCAGGCAACGGCCCGAAGGGCGAGGCGCUUUAGCGCCGAGUUAUCCUUCCCCCACCACCA